UGGGGAAUAUUGCACAAUGGGCGAAAGCCUGAUGCAGCAACGCCGCGUGAGUGAUGAAGGCCUUCGGGUUGUAAAGCUCUGUCUUUUGGGACGAUAAUGACGGUACCAAAGGAGGAAGCCACGGCUAACUACGUGCCAGCAGCCGCGGUAAUACGUAGGUGGCAAGCGUUGUCCGGAUUUACUGGGCGUAAAGGAUGCGUAGGCGGAUUUUUAAGUGAGAUGUGAAAACCCUAAGCUUAACUUGGGGACUGCAUUUCAUACUGGAAAUCUAGAGUGCGGGAGAGGAGAAUGGAAUUCCUAGUGUAGCGGUGAAAUGCGUAGAGAUUAGGAAGAACACCAGUGGCGAAGGCGAUUCUCUGGACCGUAACUGACGCUGAGGCAUGAAAGCGUGGGUAGCAAACAGGAUUAGAUACCCUGGUAGUCCACGCCGUAAACGAUGAGUACUAGGUGUAGGAGGUAUCGACCCCUUCUGUGCCGCAGUUAACACAAUAAGUACUCCGCCUGGGAAGUACGAUCGCAAGAUUAAAACUCAAAGGAAUU
rnacentral:rRNA from 1 species